GUUGAUGAUAAAUUAGGUUUCUAAAGCUUUAAUUUCAUGAAAAGUUGUUUAAGUUAAGUUUUAAUGAAGCUUACGCGUAUGGGUUUAGAAGAAACCUAGGAUUUGAGUUUUGAUGAAUGUAUGUGGGUAUUAAACAUGUUUUCUAGUUGUUCUAGGCUCUAGAGAUGUGUAUAUGCGAUGAGAUUAUAUUUUAAAACCUUCAAAUGAGUUUUACGACUUUUGGGAGAAUGGAUCUGCAGGUUUUUGACCUAGGAAUUCUAAAAAUUUCCAAGUUUGGCUGCCGAAAGCUAGAGAUUCAACAGCCGAAGCUUGCAUUUUCUCAGAAAAUCUGGAAAUUUUCCAAGUUUGGCAGCUAAAGUCCUAGACUUCGGCAACUGCAAUGGCUACUGCCCAAAAUGGACACUUAAUGUACUAAGGUUUGGCAGCCGAAACCUAAGGCUCUGGCAGCCAAACUUAGUUCUAUCCACUUUUUUUCUUCUUUGAUUUCAAUGUUCCAAAACCUAAUUUCAUAGUUCCUAAGGGCCUAGAACAUGAUGUUUAUGAUAUGUAUAGAUUUUUAGAACCUUGUGUAACACUCUAGGGUCCGAUUUUAUACAAUCAGGCUUGAGGGACUUGGAAGGGUAAGGAUCCGAGGAUAGCUCCCAUUCGAGUAUGGUGGUUAAUAGGCUACAAGAGGGUUGCAGGACUAGAAGAGUUCCUUAAAGAAAGAGCAUCAGGGGUAGUUUUAGUUCUUUCUUUGUGUAUGAUGUGCGGGUAAAUGGACAUGUAAUUUAUGAAUGGAUAUUACUUUGCUUGUAACAAUCGAGCUCCCACCACUAGAGGAAUUGUCCGCUU
rnacentral:misc_RNA from 1 species